GGACCCGCACAAGCGGUGGAGCAUGUGGUUUAAUUCGAUGCAACGCGAAAAACCUUACCUACACUUGACAUACUUCGAAUUUUCUAGAGAUAGAUUAGUGCCUUCGGGAGCGAAGAUACAGGUGCUGCAUGGCUGUCGUCAGCUCGUGUCGUGAGAUGUUGGGUUAAGUCCUAUAACGAGCGCAACCCUUACCCUUAUUUGCCAGCGGUUAGGCCGGGAACUAUAAGGGAACUGCCGGUAAUAAGCCGGAGGAAGGUGGGGACGACGUCAAGUCAUCAUGGCCCUUACGUGUAGGGCUACACACGUGCUACAAUGGGAGAUACAGACGGUUGCUAAAGCGCGAGCUGGAGCCAAUCCGACAAAGUCUCUCGUAGUCCGAAUUGCAGUCUGGAACUCGACUGCAUGAAGCCGGAAUCGCUAGUAAUCG
rnacentral:rRNA from 1 species